AGCGAACGCUGGCGGCAGGCCUAACACAUGCAAGUCGAACGCCCGUAGCAAUACGGGAGUGGCAGACGGGUGAGUAACGCGUGGGAACGUGCCCUUCGGUUCGGAAUAACUCAGGGAAACUUGAGCUAAUACCGGAUACGUCCGUAAGGAGAAAGAUUUAUCGCCGAAGGAUCGGCCCGCGUCCGAUUAGCUAGUUGGUGAGGUAACGGCUCACCAAGGCGACGAUCGGUAGCUGGUCUGAGAGGAUGAUCAGCCACACUGGGACUGAGACACGGCCCAGACUCCUACGGGAGGCAGCAGUGGGGAAUAUUGGACAAUGGGCGCAAGCCUGAUCCAGCCAUGCCGCGUGAGUGAUGAAGGCCCUAGGGUUGUAAAGCUCUUUCGGCGGGGAAGAUAAUGACGGUACCCGCAGAAGAAGCCCCGGCUAACUUCGUGCCAGCCGCCGCCGUAAGAC
rnacentral:rRNA from 1 species